rnacentral:rRNA from 1 species
CCUGGUGGCGAGCGGCGGACGGGUGAGUAAUGCCUAGGAAUCUGCCUGGUAGUGGGGGAUAACGCUCGGAAACGGACGCUAAUACCGCAUACGUCCUACGGGAGAAAGCAGGGGACCUUCGGGCCUUGCGCUAUCAGAUGAGCCUAGGUCGGAUUAGCUAGUUGGUGAGGUAAUGGCUCACCAAGGCGACGAUCCGUAACUGGUCUGAGAGGAUGAUCAGUCACACUGGAACUGAGACACGGUCCAGACUCCUACGGGAGGCAGCAGUGGGGAAUAUUGGACAAUGGGCGAAAGCCUGAUCCAGCCAUGCCGCGUGUGUGAAGAAGGUCUUCGGAUUGUAAAGCACUUUAAGUUGGGAGGAAGGGCAGUUACCUAAUACGUAUCUGUUUUGACGUUACCGACAGAAUAAGCACCGGCUAA